CCUACGGGCGGCAGCAGUGAGGAAUAUUGGUCAAUGGACGAGAGUCUGAACCAGCCAAGUAGCGUGAAGGAUGACUGCCCUAUGGGUUGUAAACUUCUUUUAUAUGGGAAUAAAAUGUUCCACGUGUGGGAUUUUGUAUGUACCAUAUGAAUAAGGAUCGGCUAACUCCGUGCCAGCAGCCGCGGUAAUACGGAGGAUCCGAGUGUUAUCCGGAUUUAUUGGGUUUAAAGGGAGCGUAGGUGGAUUGUUAAGUCAGUUGUGAAAGUUUGCGGCUCAACCGUAAAAUUGCAGUUGAAACUGGCAGUCUUGAGUACAGUAGAGGUGGGCGGAAUUCGUGGUGUAGCGGUGAAAUGCUUAGAUAUCACGAAGAACUCCGAUUGCGAAGGCAGUUCACUGGACUGCAACUGACACUGAGGCUCGAAAGUGUGGGUAUCAAACAGGAUUAGAUACCCUAGUAGUC
rnacentral:rRNA from 1 species